rnacentral:lncRNA from 1 species
AAUCAGCUGGGGUUUCCUUAGGGAGGUUGGAAGGUUUGUUCUUUCUCUCUUUGCAGUAAAUCUUGCAGGUGUGUGUUUUUUGGGUUCAUGCUGCUUGUAUGAGCUGUGAUGAUUACCAUGAAAAUUUGCAGCUUCACUUUUAAAACCAGUGAGAGCACAAACCCACCGGGAGGAACAAGCAAUUCCAGACGUACUGCUUUAGGAGGUGUAACACUCACCGGCGAGGUUUGUAGCUUCACUCCUGAGCCAGUGAGACCACGAAUCCACCAGCAGGAAAAAAAGAUUCCAAACAUGUCUGAAUGUCAGAAGAAACAAUUUCCAAACACACUGCCUUUAAGAACUGUAACACUCCCUGUGAGGGUCUAUGGCUUCAUUCUUUAAGUCAGUGAGACUAAGACGCCACCAAUUCGGGGCACAUUGGGACUAUAGUUACUGCCACCAUGCACAUCUAAACAACGUUCUGGAAUAUCUUCUUGCUUUGGUCAACCACCAGGCAUGGGAAAAUGGCUUCAUCGGUUGUCUUUCCACAAACAAGAUUCUAACUCAAAUAGCUCAAAGGACACCUUCUCCGGGAAACCUUCCCUGACUUCCGACGCUGUUUCCUGUUUUGCAGGAAAGAAUACACAAGCUCAGAAUCUCUUGGGCUGAGUGACAAAGGAGGAAAAGGGAUGGUUCCAAGUAGGAUUGGAGCUUCUGCUUCCUCACUUCCUCACGUAGCUCCAUCUGCCUCUUCAGAGAGCUCCCAUCUCCCACUGUGUGCAGCUGAGUUCCAAGCACUCCUGGCGGCAUAAUGACUGGGACAAAGAUAUUUCCUGCAGUUGUCAAUGGUGCUCCUAUACUGAAACUCUCCUAGGAACUUGGCCAAAUCUUCCUGCUCCCCAUCCCUGAUUUCUGUGAACAAGAGGGAAGACUUUGUCACACUUCUCAUUGGUGAUCAUAUUAAUUUCUAGGCCAUGUGUAUCUAGAUAUGAAAUAAUAUUUCUGUUAUUUUAAAAUAUAAGAUCCUUGGAAGAUGUCAUCUAUUGGAACAUGUAACUAUAUAGCCAGAAGAGGAGAUCACUAGAGCCAGACUGCUCUGUCUACAUACUUAAAAAGACAUUUGGAGGAAGAGAGCAUCUGCAAAUGUUGAUGAAAAUGGGUUUGGAACUUCUCUUUUGAUCAGGAAAUAGGUAGACCAUAAAAUGUCUGAUGCAUGUUGCUGCCUGAAGCAAACCCACAAUCUGGAACCCAGUCAUCUUGUUGCUCUAGAAAGCAUCAAGAGAAAAUGGAAGAAGGCUUAAAAGGCCCAUCACAUUUUAAUCUCUAUGGUUGGAUUAAUCAAAAGUUUUCAUAGUUUUACUAAAGAAAAAUGAGUGGUCAUUUAUACUUCAUCUCUAACAAGAAACUUUUUUGUCCAGUGCUCAAAAAUACAUAUGCUAUUAUGCUAUAGUUUCCUUAUGACUUGUUUUGUUUUCUAUAGUUGAUUGUGAGCCUCCAAAGGGCAUGGAGCUAUAUGGUAUGAUUCUUUGCUCCUCAGGCAUUUUCUUGCUCAGGAGACAUACCUAACAUGUUUUUACUUAAUGAUAAAGGUGGUAUGAAUGCAUCAUCAAUAACAGAAGCUUAGAGCUAGAAGUAAAUGUUUAAUCAUUUACUUUUGCUUGUUUUUCUUUUCCUUUUUUUUUUGCAUUGUCUACUUUAAGACCCACAUAUUACAAAUAAGAAGCAUUAAAAGUCGUUAGUGUCAAGAUCGGGGACAUGAAUUAGGUCUCUUGAUUCUAAAGAUGAUUACAGUAAUAACAGAAAAGGCUUUCUCAUCAAGCAGUGUAACUCAGUGGAACAAGCUUCAGAUUGAGCAGUGGCAAUGUGGUUUCGUGGACAGGCACUGGCUGGGAGCUUGGAUCUCAUUAUUGUGGGUUCAUCUCAGUCAUGUGUUGACCUGAGGUGCAGGUGGCUCUAUUGGGAGUCAGCCAGCUGUGGAUGGUAACCACACAUGACCAAAAUGAGUCUUCAGAAGCUAUCACUUGAACACAGCAACGACACUGGGCACUACUAAGAAGGAGGGAGGAAGUGGACCAAGGGCUGAAAAACUAACUAUUGGGUCCUAUGCUUAGU